rnacentral:rRNA from 1 species
AGAGUUUGAUCAUGGCUCAGAUUGAACGCUGGCGGCAUGCUUUACACAUGCAAGUCGAACGGCAGCGGGGGCUUCGGCCUGCCGGCGAGUGGCGAACGGGCGAGUAAUACAUCGGAACGUGUCCUUAAGUGGGGAAUAACGCAUCGAAAGAUGUGCUAAUACCGCAUAUCUCUCAGGAGGAAAGCAGGGGAUCGAAAGACCUUGCGCUAAAGGAGCGGCUGAUGUCUGAUUAGCUAGUUGGUGGGGUAAAGGCUUACCAAGGCAACGAUCAGUAGCUGGUCUGAGAGGACGACCAGCCACACUGGGACUGAGACACGGCCCAGACUCCUACGGGAGGCAGCAGUGGGGAAUUUUGGACAAUGGGCGAAAGCCUGAUCCAGCCAUGCCGCGUGAGUGAAGAAGGCCUUCGGGUUGUAAAGCUCUUUUAGUCGGAAAGAAAGAGUCAUAGUAAAUAGCUAUGAUUUAUGACGGUACCGACAGAAAAAGCACCGGCUAACUACGUGCCAGCAGCCGCGGUAAUACGUAGGGUGCGAGCGUUAAUCGGAAUUACUGGGCGUAAAGGGUGCGCAGGCGGCCUUGUAAGUCAGAUGUGAAAGCCCCGGGCUUAACCUGGGAAUUGCGUUUGAAACUACAAAGCUAGAGUGCAGCAGAGGGGAGUGGAAUUCCAUGUGUAGCAGUGAAAUGCGUAGAGAUGUGGAAGAACACCGAUGGCGAAGGCAGCUCCCUGGGU